UAAGCACCGCCCGCCUUAACUUUCCCACAAUCUUUGCAGCCCCAAAUUCCUACAGCCUUCCUCUUUACUGCAUACCGUACCUUUCCACAGAAUUCACAGAAGUAUUUGCUGUGCUGACUAACCUCCAUCUUCUUGAUCUGCUUACGCAGACUAGCACCAUAUCGGGUACCUGAAACAGAAAUCAUCAAAUUCUAUUUGUGUUUUGAGUUUAAUUAUACAUAUAUGGACCUCAGACUUCCAACUUUGAUUAACCCACCCAUCUACAGUCCACAUUGUAAUUGUAGCCAACUACAUCAUCAAUCAAGGCCAUUCAAUUGUUAACAGCCUCUAGGAUAGGGGGUCCCAAAAUGUGUUUCAGAAUGCAAGUUUAGCUCCA